ACGCCCGCAGGACUCCGUCAAUGUGGAUGCCGUCAUCAGCAAGAUCGAGAGCACCUUCGCCCAGUUCCCCCACGAGAGGGCCACCAUGGACGACAUGGGCCUGGUGGCCAAGGCCUGCGGCUGCCCCCUCUACUGGAAGGGGCCGCUCUUCUAUGGCGCCGGCGGGGAGCGCACGGGCUCCGUGUCCGUCCACAAGUUCGUCGCCAUGUGGAGAAAAAUCCUCCAGAACUGCCACGACGACGCGGCCAAGUUCCUCCAUCUGCUCAUGAGCCCCGGCUGCAACUACCUGGUGCAGGAGGACUUUGUCCCCUUCUUGCAGGACGUGGUGAACACGCACCCGGGGCUGUCGUUCCUGAAGGAGGCGUCCGAGUUCCACUCGCGCUACAUCACCACGGUGGGUCCGCAGCGGAGGGGCCGUGGGUUCCAGCGCGGGGCGGGGGUGUUUCUGCAGCGGCCGC
rnacentral:sRNA from 1 species